rnacentral:rRNA from 1 species
UACGGGGGGGGUAAGCGUUGUUCGGAAUCACUGGGCGUAAAGGGCUCGUAGGCGGCCAACUAAGUCAGACGUGAAAUCCCUCAGCUUAACUGGGGAACUGCGUCUGAUACUGGAUGGCUUGGAUUCGGGAGAGGAAUGCGGAAUUCCAGGUGUAGCGGUGAAAUGCGUAGAUAUCUGGAGGAACACCGGUGGCGAAGGCGGCAUUCUGGACCGACAUUGACGCUGAGGAGCGAAAGCCAGGGGAGCAAACGGG